GCCGGCAUGGAAAUGCGUUUAUCUCGGGGCUCUUAGCUCCUUCCACUGUUCUGCCCAGAACAUCAGACUCCUAGAUGUGUGCUCAGCCCCGCUUCCUCCGAAAGCCUCACUCCUGGGAAACGGGAUCUCUCCUGCAGCUGGGGUCCACGACGAGUGUCCUACGGGCUGGGGGCGGGGCCACUUGGCCCCGGGAACAAUGAGGCCAUUGCCUCUUCUGCGUGCUGCGGGCCGGAUAUCCGUUCUGAAGGCGGCUCUGGGCUUUCUCUGUCCAGAAGGAGGAAACCUUCGGUCACCAGGGCUGCAAGGAAAUAGCAGGGAGGUGCCCCGAGGAACGGAGAACAAUUAUGCAUGGAGAAUAUAAAGAAAUGAGCAAACUUUCCAGGCCUUGGACAGCGAUUCCAGUUACCCGGGAUUAUCUUCUUUCCUGGUGUAAAUACCUUCAUGCCACCAUUCCUUAGUGUCUGGAUUUGAUGGGAAACACACCCAGAGAGAAUACAUAAGUCCUGCUGGUCACUCAGCAAGAAGAUGUUACCCUGUCCAGUUCUCCUGCCAAUACAGGGUAGGCAUCCUGCCUACAAAAUAAAUGAUUGUAUGUUAAGUA